ACAUCUAGAGGCAAUUUAGUGCAAAAAUGGCUAGAUAUAUGGCGUUCUUGUCUAUGUUAAGUAUUGUGAUUCUAAGAAAGUGUAUACAUGUAUAUCAAGAAUAUGUGUAUCUAUUGAUAGACAUGGCUUUCAUUCUUGUCUCAUCGGUGCAAUUCUCCAGAAUGAGUUUUCGGCCAACGGCGGAGGUUUCCGGCAGGAUUUCUUCUAUGACACCAAUUAUGGCUAGGCUUGAUCGCUAGAAAGCUGCCAUAUAAUACACAUAUGCACUAUCCUUCACACUUUUUUUUUUAUGGUGAGUUUUGUAUCCCAAAUAAGUCAACUUAUCUAUAAUCUUAAUUCAAAUUUCCCUACAAUUUAGGUUUCUUGCUUUUGCUUUUAUUUUAAUUAGACUAUAUAUUCUCUUGUUUGGUGCAACACCUUAGUCCAUCUUUUAGAUCUGUAAAAUAAACUUGGCCAAAUGCCAUUUAUGGGAAUCUCAUACGAUGGACUCGAUUCAGGCUCAAAUUAUUGAUAUAUUUGGAUAAUAUAGAAUUACAUAUUACUGCUUAUAGGUUCUGUAUAUUUAUGUAACUUUUAAGAUAUAUUUAUCUUAUCUAUGGUGGUAGAGAUGCAUAUAUCUAAAACAAAGUUCUAUAAUGAAU
rnacentral:lncRNA from 1 species